rnacentral:rRNA from 1 species
GGGAUAACGUAGGGAAACUUACGCUAAUACCGCAUACGACCUACGGGUGAAAGCAGGGGAUCUUCGGACCUUGCGCGAUUGAAUGAGUCGAUGUCGGAUUAGCUAGUUGGCGGGGUAAAGGCCCACCAAGGCGACGAUCCGUAGCUGGUCUGAGAGGAUGAUCAGCCACACUGGAACUGAGACACGGUCCAGACUCCUACGGGAGGCAGCAGUGGGGAAUAUUGGACAAUGGGCGCAAGCCUGAUCCAGCCAUACCGCGUGGGUGAAGAAGGCCUUCGGGUUGUAAAGCCCUUUUGUUGGGAAAGAAAUCCAGCCGGCUAAUACCUGGUUGGGAUGACGGUACCCAAAGAAUAAGCACCGGCUAACUUCGUGCCAGCAGCCGCGGUAAUACGAAGGGUGCAAGCGUUACUCGGAAUUACUGGGCGUAAAGCGUGCGUAGGUGGUCGUUUAAGUCCGUUGUGAAAGCCCUGGGCUCAACCUGGGAACUGCAGUGGAUACUGGGCGACUAGAGUGUGGUAGAGGGUAGCGGAAUUCCUGGUGUAGCAGUGAAAUGCGUAGAGAUCAGGAGGAACAUCCAUGGCGAAGG